rnacentral:rRNA from 1 species
CGAAGCCUACGGGAGGCAGCAGUGAGGAAUAUUGGUCAAUGGCCGAGAGGCUGAACCAGCCAAGUCGCGUGAGGGAUGACGGCCCUACGGGUUGUAAACCUCUUUUGUCGGGGAGCAAAGAGAGUCACGUGUGGCUCAUUGAGAGUACCCGAAGAAAAAGCAUCGGCUAACUCCGUGCCAGCAGCCGCGGUAAUACGGAGGAUGCGAGCGUUAUCCGGAUUUAUUGGGUUUAAAGGGUGCGCAGGCGGAGGUGCAAGUCAGUGGUCAAAUUGCGGGGCUCAACCCCGUACUGCCGUUGAAACUGC